UGGGGUUGUGGUUCAGUGGUAGAGUGCUUGCCUGGCAUGUGUGAGGUUCUGCGUUCGAUCCUCAGCACCACAA
rnacentral:tRNA from 1 species